AAGCUGCACAUACCCGUAUUCUAUUUGUCCGGCUACUCUCAACCCUUUCAAAGACGGGAACUAAGUAAGUGGAAUUGUUUCUUGUUGGCAAAAGGAAUGUCGAUGUUGGUGUGACUAAAGCUAGAAGCACAAACAACUGCAGGUAGUCAAGAGUGGUUAUUCGAGACCAGACAUUGAACGUAUCCAGACUCUGUGACGUUUAAGCCGCAUUGUGUAAUAUGUAGAGUGUGAGAGGUCUGACACCCCAAACAUUACAGGUAACGUUAACUUCGGUUCGUCUGGUUUCACUGAGAGAGAUUAACACAAACGGAUUAGCUGUAG